AGCGAACGCUGGCGGCAGGCCUAACACAUGCAAGUCGAACGGACCCUUCGGGGUUAGUGGCGGACGGGUGAGUAACACGUGGGAACGUGCCUUUAGGUUCGGAAUAGCUCCUGGAAACGGGUGGUAAUGCCGAAUGUGCCCUUCGGGGGAAAGAUUUAUCGCCUUUAGAGCGGCCCGCGUCUGAUUAGCUAGUUGGUGGGGUAAUGGCCCACCAAGGCUACGAUCAGUAGCUGGUCUGAGAGGAUGACCAGCCACAUUGGGACUGAGACACGGCCCAAACUCCUACGGGAGGCAGCAGUGGGGAAUCUUGCGCAAUGGGCGAAAGCCUGACGCAGCCAUGCCGCGUGUAUGAUGAAGGUCUUAGGAUUGUAAAAUACUUUCACCGGUGAAGAUAAUGACUGUAGCCGGAGAAGAAGCCCCGGCUAACUUCGUGCCAGCCGCCGCAGUAAAAC
rnacentral:rRNA from 1 species